AGUCAUCUCACCACGGAACUUUCCCUCUGAACCAACCAGCCGUGGUUCCUGGAAUCCAAGUCCCCUGCAGUCCCCCUUCCGUGAGCUUUCUUUCAAACGUGUGGGGUUCGCCCCGGGAUCCAAGUCUCCACGCUGUUAAGGCUGGUCCAUAUCUCACUUCACAAGGACAGAAGCCAGGAAAGACUGGACUGGCCAGAAAUGGGGGCACCCACCUCUGUACUCUUCUGUCUGCCCAACUGGGCCAGAUAGCUCGAGUUGGGGCAGUCCCAAAGUGACAGCGUGUCCCCCGAGGAAGACUCCUCAGUCUUGACACCGCCUUCCUGCGGGCUGAGCGCCCUUGACCUGAGAACACUCCCUCGCACUGGUGCCUCUUCCCUGGAUUGAGGGUCUGGGGAGCCCGGAUCCCGCCUGCUGAUGGUCUCAAGUUUGCAAAUGUUUGUGAAGUGAAUGCAAUUUAUCAGGAAUCUACAACCUUAGGCUCUGACUUUUAAUGCCAAGGGC
rnacentral:lncRNA from 1 species